GUAUAGCUAGCUCAGUGGUAGAGCGUGUGCUUAGCAUGCACAAGGUCCUGGGUUCAAUCCUCAGUACC
rnacentral:tRNA from 1 species